rnacentral:rRNA from 1 species
CACGUAGUUAGCCGGCGCUUUUUCUGCAGGUACCGUCACUUUCGCUUCUUCCCUGCUAAAAGAGGUUUACAACCCGAAGGCCGUCGUCCCUCACGCGGCGUUGCUGCAUCCGGCUUUCGCCCAUUGUGCAAUAUUCCCCACUGCUGCCUCCCGUAGGAGUCUGGGCCGUAUCUCAGUCCCAGUGUGGCCGGUCACCCUCUCAGGCCGGCUACCCGUCGACGCCUUGGUGAGCCAUUACCCUCACCAACAAGCUGAUAGGCCGCGAGCUCAUCCCCGACCGAAAUUCUUUCCAAACGUCGACCAUGCGGUCACGUCUCAUAUCCGGUAUUAGCAGCUGUUUCCAACUGUUAUCCCAGAGUCAGGGGCAGAUUGCUCACGUGUUACUCACCCGUUCGCCACUGAUCCAAAGAGCAAGCUCUCCUUCACCGUUCGACUUGCAUGUGUUAAGCACGCCGCCAGCGUUCAUCCUGAGCCAGGAUCAAACUCUA